GGCUGGUCUCAAACUCCUGGGCUCAAGCAGUCUGCUGCCUUGGCCUCCCAGAGUGCAGGGAUUGCAGGCUGAGCCACCAUACCUGGCCCAGAUAAAUUUCUUUUACCCUACUCUACUUCCACUGCUUUACUUGACUAGCCUUAA
ensembl:misc_RNA Y_RNA Y RNA